rnacentral:rRNA from 1 species
AACGAACGCUGGCGGCAGACUUAACACAUGCAAGUCGAACGCCCCGCAAGGGGAGUGGCAGACGGGUGAGUAACGCGUGGGAAUCUACCCAGUUCUACGGAAUAACCCAGGGAAGCUUGGACUAAUACCGUAUACGCCCUACGGGGGAAAGAUUUAUCGGAAUUGGAUGAGCCCGCGUUGGAUUAGCUAGUUGGUGGGGUAAUGGCCUACCAAGGCGACGAUCCAUAGCUGGUCUGAGAGGACGAUCGGCCACACUGGGACUGAGACACGGCCCAGACUGCGACGGGAGGCAGCAGUGGGGAAUAUUGGACAAUGGGCGCAAGCCUGGUCCAGCCAUGCCGCGUGAGUGAUGAAGGCCUUAGGGUUGUAAAGCUCCUUCAGUGGGGACGAUAAUGACGGUACCCACAGAAGAAGCCCCGGCUAACUCCGUGCCAGCCGCCGCCGUAAAAC